rnacentral:rRNA from 1 species
UACAGAGGGGGCAAGCGUUGUUCGGAAUUACUGGGCGUAAAGGGCGCGUAGGCGGCCUUCUAAGUCAGACGUGAAAUCCCCCGGCUUAACCUGGGAACUGCGUCUGAUACUGGGAAGCUUGAGUUCGGGAGAGGGAUGUAGAAUUCCAGGUGUAGCGGUGAAAUGCGUAGAUAUCUGGAGGAACACCGGUGGCGAAGGCGGUUCUCUGGGCAUUACCUGACGCUGAGGAGCGAAAGUGUGGGGAGCGAACAGG